rnacentral:rRNA from 1 species
UACGAAGGGGGCUAGCGUUGUUCGGAAUUACUGGGCGUAAAGCGCACGUAGGCGGAUAUUUAAGUCAGGGGUGAAAUCCCAGAGCUCAACUCUGGAACUGCCUUUGAUACUGAAGAUCUUGAGUUCGGGAGAGGUGAGUGGAACUGCGAGUGUAGAGGUGAAAUUCGUAGAUAUUCGCAAGAACACCAGUGGCGAAGGCGGCUCACUGGCCCGAUACUGACGCUGAUGUGCGAAAGCGUGGGGAGCAAGCAGG